rnacentral:rRNA from 1 species
GGCGAACGAGGUGAGUAAUGCAUCGGAACAUGUCCAUGUCGUGGGGGAUAGCCCGGCGAAAGCCGGAUUAAUACCGCAUACGCCCGAGAGGGGAAAGUGGGGGACCGCAAGGCCUCACGCGAUUGGGUUGGCCGAUGUCCGAUUAGCUAGUUGGCGGGGUAAAGGCCCACCAAGGCGAUGAUCGGUAGCUGGUCUGAGAGGAUGAUCAGCCACACUGGGACUGAGACACGGCCCAAACUCAUACGGGAGGCAGCAGUGGGGAAUUUGGACAAUGGGGGAAACCCUGAUCCAGCCAUUCCGCGUGAGUGAAGAAGGCCUUCGGGUUGUAAAGCUCUUUUGUCCGGAACGAAACGGGUAGAUCUAAUAAGUCUGCCUACUGACGGUACCGGAAGAAUAAGCACCGGCUAACUACGUGCCCAGCAGCCGCGG